UACGAAGGGGGCUAGCGCUGUUCGGAUUUACUGGGCGUAAAGCGCACGUAGGCGGAUCGUUAAGUCGGGGGUGAAAUCCUGGAGCUCAACUCCAGAACUGCCUUCGAUACUGGCGAUCUUGAGUCCGGAAGAGGUGAGUGGAACUCCUAGUGUAGAGGUGGAAUUCGUAGAUAUCAGGAAGAACACCCGUGGCGAAGGCGGCUCUCUGGGACGGUACUGACGCUGAGACGCGAAAGCGUGGGGAGCGAACAGG
rnacentral:rRNA from 1 species